UACGUAGGGGGCAAGCGUUGUCCGGAUUUAUUGGGCGUAAAGCGCUCGCAGGCGGUCCGAUGCGUCGUGCGUGAAAUCCCCGGGCUCAACCCGGGAACUGCGUCCGAUACUGGCAGGCUUGAAUCCGGGAGAGGGAUGCGGAAUUCCAGGUGUAGCGGUGAAAUGCGUAGAUAUCUGGAGGAACACCGGUGGCGAAGGCGGCAUCCUGGACCGGCAUUGACGCUGAGGUGCGAAAGCCAGGGGAGCAAACGGG
rnacentral:rRNA from 1 species